rnacentral:rRNA from 1 species
UACGAAGGGGGCUAGCGUUGCUCGGAAUCACUGGGCGUAAAGCGCACGUAGGCGGACUCUUAAGUCGGUGGUGAAAUCCUGGAGCUCAACUCCAGAACUGCCUUUGAUACUGGUGAGCUUGAGUCCGGAAGAGGUGAGUGGAACUGCGAGUGUAGAGGUGAAAUUCGUAGAUAUUCGCAAGAACACCAGUGGCGAAGGCGGCUCACUGGUCCGGUACUGACGCUGAGGUGCGAAAGCGUGGGGAGCAAACAGG